rnacentral:rRNA from 1 species
GCAGAACGCGAAGAACCUUACCAGGGCUUAAAUGUAGUGGGACAGGUCCAGAGAUGGGCCCUUCUUCGGACUCAUUACAAGGUGCUGCAUGGUUGUCGUCAGCUCGUGCCGUGAGGUGUCAGGUUAAGUCCUAUAACGAGCGCAACCCCUGUCGUUAGUUGCCAGCGAGUGAAGUCGGGAACUCUAACGAGACUGCCGGUGCAAACCGUGAGGAAGGUGGGGAUGACGUCAAAUCAUCACGGCCCUUACGUCCUGGGCUACACACGUGCUACAAUGGCCGGUACAGAGAGCAGCCACGCCGCAAGGCGGAGCGAUCUAACAAAACCGGUCACAGUUCGGAUCGGGGUCUGCAACUCGACCCCGUGAAGCUGGAAUCGCUAGUAAUCGCACAUCAGCCAUGGUGCGGUGAAUACGUUCCCGGGUCUUGUACACACCG